GCAGUGGUGGUUCAGUGGCAGAAUUCUUGCCCUCCAUAUGGGAGACCUGGGUUCUAUUCCUAGCCAGUGUG
rnacentral:tRNA from 1 species